rnacentral:rRNA from 1 species
UACAGAGGGUGCGAGCGUUGUCCGGAAUCACUGGGCGUAAAGGGCGCGUAGGUGGCUUGGUAAGCGUGUGGUGAAAGCUCGGGGCUCAACCCCGAGUCGGCCAUGCGAACUGCCGAGCUUGAGCAUGGUAGAGGCAGGUGGAAUUCCGGGUGUAGCGGUGGAAUGCGUAGAUAUAGGAAGGAACACCAGUGGCGAAGGCGACUACCUGGACUGAUACUGACACUGAGGUGCGAAAGCGUGGGGAGCAAACAGGAUUAGAUACCCCG